rnacentral:tRNA from 1 species
UCCCUGGUGGCUCAGAUGGUAAAGCGUCUGCCUGCAAUGCGGGAGACCCGGGUUCGAUCCCUGGGUGGGGAA